AACGAACGCUGGCGGCAUGCCUAACACAUGCAAGUCGAACGAAACCUUCGGGUCUAGUGGCGCACGGGGGCGUAACGCGUGGGAACCUGCCCUUAGGGUCGGCAUAACUCCCCGAAAGGGGUGCUAAUACCGGAUAAUGUCUUCGGACCAAAGAUUUAUCGCCUUUGGAUGGGCCCGCGUUGGAUUAGCUAGUUGGUAGGGUAAAAGCCUACCAAGGCGACGAUCCAUAGCUGGUCUGAGAGGAUGAUCAGCCACACUGGGACUGAGACACGGCCCAGACUCCUACGGGAGGCAGCAGUGGGGAAUAUUGGACAAUGGGCGAAAGCCUGAUCCAGCAAUGCCGCGUGAGUGAUGAAGGCCUUAGGGUUGUAAAGCUCUUUUACCCGGGAUGAUAAUGACAGUACCGGGAGAAUAAGCCCCGGCUAACUCCGUG
rnacentral:rRNA from 1 species